AUGGAGUGCUUGGAAUCAGGUAAGCUUUGGAAGCGUUGGCGUCGAGCAGAAGAGUACCAUGAAGUGGGGGUUCAGUUCAUACGUAGGGAGUAUGACGGACAAAGUAGGCAUUCUCUGUUGGACAUAAGGUUCAUCAACGGAGUUAUGGAGAUUCCUUGUUUGCCAGUUGGUGAGUCCAGUGAGUCUCUUUUCAAGAACCUUUUAGCACUAGAGCAAACAGACCCCAGGUAUGGCAAUGACAUCAGUGCUUAUGUCACUUUCAUGUCUCAGGUCGUCGCUACGCCUGCUGAUGCCACACUAUUUGUUCAGAGAGGCAUCAUCGUGCAUAUGAUGGAUAGCGAUGAAGAGGUGUCAACUCUAUUCAGUAGACUCACCAAACAAGCGACAUUCGGGUUUGAUUUGAAAUACUACUUAAAAUAUAUAUGUUGGGCGUUGGAGGCCCACUACCAGAGUCGCCUGAAUAGAUGGAUAGCAUGGCUGUGGUUAAAUCACUUCUGA
rnacentral:rRNA from 1 species